rnacentral:rRNA from 1 species
UGUAGUCAAAUUCUUGUUUCAAAGAAUAAACCAAGCAUGUUUAAGGAAAAACCAUUUAUACUGUGAAACUGCGAAUGGCUCAUUAAAUCAGUUAUAGUUUAUUUGAUAGUACCUUUACCUGGAUAACCGUGGUAAUUCUAGAGCUAAUACAUGCCAAAAACCCCGACUUCGGAAGGGGUGUAUUUAUUAGAUAAAAAACCAAUGCCCUCCGGGGCUCCUUGGUGAUUCAUGAUAACUUAACGAAUCGCAUGGCCUUGCGCCGGCGAUGGUUCAUUCAAAUUUCUGCCCUAUCAACUUCGAUGUAA